rnacentral:rRNA from 1 species
GACGGAGGAUGCAAGUGUUAUCCGGAAUCACUGGGCGUAAAGCGUCUGUAGGUGGUCAAAUAAGUCAACUGUUAAAUCUUGAGGCUCAACCUCAAAAUCGCAGUCGAAACUAUUAGACUAGAGUAUAGUAGGGGUAAAGGGAAUUCCAGUGGAGCGGUGAAAUGCGUAGAGAUUGGAAAGAACACCGAUGGCGAAGGCACUUUACUGGGCUAUUACUAACACUCAGAGACGAAAGCUAGGGUAGCAAAUGGG